UGGGAAAUAGUUUAAUGGUAGAACUUUAGCCUCCAAAGCUAACUGUAGGAGUUCAAGUCUCCUUUUCCCAG
rnacentral:tRNA from 1 species